UGAGGAAUAUUCGGCAAUGGGGGCAACCCCGACCGAGCAACGCCGCGUGGAGGAUGACGGUUUUCGGAUUGUAAACUCCUUUUCUCAGGGAAGAGCGAGGACGGUACCUGGGGAAUAAGUCACGGCUAACUACGUGCCAGCAGCCGCGGUAAUACGCAGGUGGCAAGCGUUAUCCGGAAUUACUGGGCGUAAAGCGCACGCAGGUGGCUGCUUAAGUCUGACGUGAAAGCUCCUGGCUUAACUGGGAGAGGUCGUUGGAGACUGGGCGGCUUGAGGCGAGGAGAGGGGUGUAGAAUUCCCGGUGUAGUGGUGGAAUGCGUAGAGAUCGGGAGGAAUACCAGUGGCGAAAGCGGCACCCUGGCCUUGGCCUGACGCUCAGGUGCGAAAGCGUGGGGAGCGAACG
rnacentral:rRNA from 1 species